rnacentral:lncRNA from 1 species
UCGUGCUGCUAUUUCAUUCUCUUUUAGGUAAUCUUGAACCAAUGCUCUCAUUCCUCCCUUGCCAAAAUUGGUUUGAAGAAGAUCCUCCCUAUCUUUCAAUGCUAUCUUUCCAUCUUUCCAGCAAAUAAUUCCCUGCCGUAUCAUAUUAUUAAAUUCAUUGCAAUCUUUUCUAGUGUGUGAAGCAUCAUCACACCAAAUGCAUCUUUGUACAUAU